AGCGGUCGAUUGGGGGCUCUUUCGAAGCGGCAGCUCUGUAGGACCGCUCUUCUACCCCAAGAUCCCUCGGCUUCGGCCCCCUAGGUGCCAGGGUCUGCGGGACCCCACGCUCAAAGCCGCCGGCCGGGGUCGACAACUGCAGAGAGGGUCGGGAUAGGAAAUUGCGGGUAGCGGCAGAUGCGGGUCCCCAGGCAUCCCGGAGGUUCCCACAGGUCUGCAGUGGGCCUACUUUGCGAAAAGGGCCCGGCUGCGCCGAGCCUCGUUCAAAUCAGAUGCCAGACAGUGUUUCUUGGGAUCCAUCCAAAUAGGUCCCUUAUUUCUCUUUGUGGGAGCCCUGGGCCUCCUUCCAGGCCGGAACCCAAGUGCUUAGGCAGCCGGGAAAGGCCGGUCCCCUUUUUCAGUUCUCUCGCGACCUCUAGCCACUUCCGGUUGCUAACGGUUCCCAAACAGCCCCCGAAAACGCUACGUGAGCUGGGCCCUGGGCCAGAGGCAGAAAACGGACGGAAGAAAAGGUCUGGCCGGUUCAUCAAGCUCUCUCUCCAGAUCCUCCAGUACCGUCACUGCCUCCUCUCCAGUCUCUGGAUGGUGUGCACGCACCCAUGCUUGCAGGUCUUUAGGAAGAAUGCUCAGGAACUGUUCUAGCACCAGCAGGUCUAAAAUCUGCUCCUUGGUGUGGCAUUCUGGCCUCAGCCACUGACGGCAGAGCUCCCACAGCUGGGAGAUGGGUCUCACUCUGUCACCCAGACUGGAGUGCAGUGAGUGGUGCGAUCAUAGCUUACUGCAGCCUGAAACUCCUGGGCUCAAGUGAUCUUCUCGCCUCAGCCUCCUGAGUAGCUGGAGCUACAGGUGUGAGCUACCCAGCAUGGCUCAUUUGAGAUUUCUGAGUAGAGAAGUAACAUGAUUAAACUUGGGUAUUGAGAUUA
rnacentral:lncRNA from 1 species